rnacentral:rRNA from 1 species
UACAGAGGUGGCAAGCGUUGUUCGGAAUUACUGGGCGUAAAGGGCGCGUAGGCGGCCAACUAAGUCGGAUGUGAAAUCCCCAGGCUCAACUUGGGAACUGCAUCCGAUACUGGUCGGCUUGAAUCCGGGAGAGGGAUGCAGAAUUCCAGGUGUAGCGGUGAAAUGCGUAGAUAUCUGGAGGAAUACCGGUGGCGAAGGCGGCAUCCUGGACCGGCAUUGACGCUGAUGUGCGAAAGCCAGGGGAGCAAACGGG